ensembl:lncRNA
CAUGCAGGAGACGAAGGCCCUCAUCUCGCGAUGACGGGGGAGUCUUGGGGUUGUUCUCGAGCGGCGGCCCCAGUGUGCGCUUUCUCACGAGGUACGACGGCGAGGGUGGAGUUCGAAGAGGUGUCCGGGCAUCGGGUUCUUAUCAAGAGGGGACCGGGAAAUCGGGGUCCUUCGGAAUGUGGAACCACCCACGAGGCCACGUCUGGAAUGUCGUCGUGAGACCGGCCUCAUCCUGAGGUGCGACCGGAAGGUCGGGAACCCCUUCCAGACAAAGCAGGGGAGUCGACCCUCCUGUCCAGAUCAGGAGGGUAGAAGGGGCUCAGAGGAAGUGGUGCGGGAAAACCUCGGUGUUCCUCUUGAGGGAGACCGGGAUGUCGGGGCACUUUGUGGGUCGCAUCAAGGGUGCCAAGUACCGUUUCGACCUCCAAUACCUAACGUGGGACUUCUCCUGAGACACUGUAGCGGGAAAGGGCUUCAUCUUGCGAUGACGGGGGAACCACGUGGAUUUUCUCGAGUUGCAGCGGGAUUCUCGAGUUACGACGGGGAAUUCAGGAUGCCUCUUGUGUUGGCCCAGGGAAGUCCAAUCUUCCAUUCGAGUUGCGAAGGAAAGCUGGGGAUUGCUCUCGAGUGACUGCAGGGCCAAUAGACCUCAUCUAGGCUUGUGUCCAGAAGCCAAUGUUCCUCUCCAGGGGCGAAAGGGAUCUCGGGGUUGCAUUCCAGACGCACCCGGGGAGACAGGCAUCCAUCUCGAGUGGAAGCAAAGAACCCCGCUCUGCUCUCGAGUCGCGACGGGUAUCUCUUGGAGCUCACUGGGUGGACUAAAGGGAGUCAAGCCUCCUGAGGCGUUUGGAGAGAG